rnacentral:tRNA from 1 species
UUCCCGUUAGCUUAACUGGAAAAGCGCCAUCUCGAUGGAGAUAAGGGUUCGAAUCCCUUGCGGGAAACCA